rnacentral:rRNA from 1 species
CGGGGUGCACCAGGCGCGAAAACUUUGCAAUACACGAAAGUGUGACAGGGCUAUCCCGAGUGCCAUCCGCUGAGGAAGGCUUUUACCCAGUCUAGAACGCUGGGGGAAUAAGGAGAGGGCAAGUCUGGUGUCAGCCGCCGCGGUAAUACCAGCUCUCCGAGUGGUGUGGAUGUUUAUUGGGCCUAAAGCAUCCGUAGCUGGCUAAGUUAGUCCCUUGUUAAAUCCACCGAAUUAAUCGUUGGAUUGCGGGGGAUACUGCUUGGCUAGGGGACGAGAGAGGCAGACGGUAUUUCCGGGGUAGGGGUGAAAUCCUAUAAUCCCGGGAAGGCCACCAGUGGCGAAGGCUGUCUGCUAGAACGCGCCCGACGGUGAGGGAUGAAAGCUGGGGGAGCGAACCGGAUUAGAUACCCGGGUAGUCCCAGCUGUAAACGAUGCAGGCUAGGUGUUUGGACGGCCACGUGCCGUUCUAGUGCCGCAGGGAAGCUGUUAAGCCUGCCGCCUGGGGAGUACGAUCGCAAGAUUGAAACUUAAAGGAAUUGGCGGGGGAGCACAAGGGCGAAUCGCGG